GUAUUAUCCAGGGCAUUCUGAGCCAAGGAGAUCUGAUAUCGUCUUUAGAGGGCUGUGCUCUGAGACACAGAGCACCUUCUAUCCAGACCAGACCUGAGAGACCUAGGGAUAGGGAGUGACUGCUGCAGCCCAACACCAGCCCAGAGAACCAAGGGACCGAGAGAGACAACAGCCCAGAACCAAGGGACAAGGGGAGACUACGACAGCCCAGAAUCAGGGACAGACAUUUUUUUUUCAGACCACUGCCCCAGAUCAAAGCACCAAGGACAAAGAGAGACAACAGCCACAGACCAGGACCAGAGCACCUAGGGACAGGGAGAGACUAGUUCCAGAGAUGGCCUCGGCCGGCCUGGAGAUCCUGGGUAUGAUCCUUUGUGUGUCAGGCUGGCUAGGGGUCAUGGUGGCCUGUGGCCUGCCAAUGUGGAGAGUAGCCGCCUACAUUGGCCAGAACAUCGUCAUCUCUCAAGUGAUCUGGGAGGGCCUGUGGAUGAACUGUUCUGUCCAGAGCACGGGCCAGAUGCACUGCAAAGUCCACGACUCCAUGCUUGGACUCCCUGUGGACCUACAGGCGGCCCGUGCCCUGGUCAUUGUCUCUAUGGUGCUGUGCAUCAUGGGCAUCGGCCUGUCUGUAGCCGGGGCCAAGUGCACCAACUGCAGCUCAGACACAGGCAGCAAGCCUCGCAUGGUGCUGGGGGCCGGGGUGUCCUUCAUCGUGGCGGGGCUGUUGCUGCUGACGGCCGUAUCGUGGACGGCUAACACCAUCGUCUUGGAUUUCUAUGACCCGAUGCUGGAGGAGACGGGGAAGAGGGAACUUGCUUACAAAGGACGGUAAAACAACAAAAUGGCUGUGUUGGGACUAGAGAUCUUGGGGGUGAUCCUGGCUGUCCUGGGUUGGAUAUUGAGCAUCGUGUCCUGCGCCCUGCCCAUGUGGAGGGUGUCCGCUUUCAUCGGGGUCAACAUCAUCACAGCUCAGACCAUCUGGGAGGGCAUCUGGAUGACCUGUGUGGUGCAGAGCACGGGCCAGAUGCAGUGUAAGGUCUACGACUCCAUGCUAGCCCUCAGCUCUGACCUGCAGGCAGCCCGAGCCCUCACAAUCAUCUCUAUAGUUGUGGGCAUCACGGGGGUGCUGGUGGCCGUGGUGGGGGCUAAGUGUACCAACUGUGUUGAGGACGAGACGGCCAAAGCCCAGGUGAUGAUCGCAGCGGGGGUGGCCUUCAUCGUAGCAUCCCUGACCCAGCUGAUCCCUGUGUCCUGGUCAGCCAACAGCAUCAUCAUGGAUUUCUAUAGUCCUAUCACUCCUGAGGCUCAGAAAAGGGAGAUUGGAGUGGCUCUCUACCUGGGCUGGGCAGCAGCCGCAUUUCUCCUCAUCGGGGGGUGCAUCCUGUGCUGUAGUUGCCCCCCACAGCCUGAGAAGAGGUAUGCAGGGCCGCCCUCGCGGAUGGUGUACUCCCCAACCAGGUCUGUGGCCCCCAGCAGCUAUGACAAAAGAGACUAUGUUUGAACUGACCUGGGUAUCUGGCAGAAGCUGCUUUCUGCUCACGUUUUUCCCACAGUGGAUGAAGGAUAUCUGAUACCAACUUUGAAUUCUAGAACAUAUCAAAUGGGGGUGAUUUCUACUGAAACUAUUUUGUUAUAUGUUUUGACAUGAAGAAAAUACAGCUUUUUAGUGGAUCAUUUUUGAUGGUGCUCUGUUGAAGAGGAACAACACCAAACUGGACUUGAUGUACUUGUAUUUCAUACUGUAUGCCUAUUUAAAACAAACAUAGGUGUUGUAAAUAUUGUUUUGGAAUCUUAAUAUUUGAAAGGAGUUUAAUUAAAACCAUCGGCAUUGUUAGAUUUUAUAUUCUAUAGACUGAAUUAAUAACAGAUUAUGUUGUGAAUAUGUUGGAUAACAAUGUGCCAAAUACUGACAGUUUAGCAUCUUUCGUUAAGUGUGAAAUAUAAAGUAUUUUGAUGUUUAAAGUGUGUCAAUUUCACAAUAAAAACUGUUUCAUAAUA